rnacentral:lncRNA from 1 species
ACAUACUCAGAGAGAUUUGGGAGAGAUUUGACAUACUUGGAGAGAUUUCACAUACAAAGAGAUAUGUGGGAGAGAUUUCACAUACUUAGAGAGAUUUGGGAGAGAUUUGACAUACUUGGAGAGAUUUCACAUACAAAGAGAUAUGUGGGAGAGAUUUCACAUACUUAGAGAGAUUUGGGAGAGAUUUGACAUACUUGGAGAGAUUUCACAUACAAAGAGAUAUGUGGGAGAGAUUUCACAUACUUAGAGAGAUUUGGGAGAGAUUUGACAUACUUGGAGAGAUUUCACAUACAAAGAGAUAUGUGGGAGAGAUUUCACAUACUUAGAGAGAUUUGGGAGAGAUUUGACAUUCUUGGAGAGAUUUCACAUACAAAGAGAUAUGUGAGAGAGAUUUCACAUACUUAGAGAGAUUUGGGAGAGAUUUGACAUACUUGGAGAGAUUUCACAUACAAAGAGAUAUGUGAGAGAGAUUUCACAUACUUAGAGAGAUUUGGGAUAGAUUUGACAUACUUGGAGAGAUUUCACAUACAAAGAGAUAUGUGGGAGAGAUUUCACAUACUUAGAGAGAUUUGGGAGAGAUUUGACAUUCUUGGAGAGAUUUCUCAUACAAAGAGAUAUGUGGGAGAGAUUUCACAUACUUAGAGAGAUUUGGGAGAGAUUUUUGAUAAGAAGAGAUAGAGUGAAAACGAUUGAGAGCGUUUUCGUGUGUGAUGAAUGUGAGUGUCCGGCUUUGCAAUGCAAGGUCCUUAGACCCCGUUAUCCUAUGUUUUAGGAUCUUACACACUCCCUAUGAAUAUGCAACAUUGUUU